rnacentral:rRNA from 1 species
AACGAACGCUGGCGGCAUGCCUAACACAUGCAAGUCGAACGAGACCUUCGGGUCUAGUGGCGCACGGGUGCGUAACGCGUGGUAACCUGCCCUUAGGUUCGGAAUAACUCCCCGAAAGGGGUGCUAAUACCGGAUAAUGUCUUCGGACCAAAGAUUUAUCGCCUUUGGAUGGGCCCGCGUUGGAUUAGCUAGUUGGUAGGGUAAAAGCCUACCAAGGCGACGAUCCAUAGCUGGUCUGAGAGGAUGAUCAGCCACACUGGGACUGAGACACGGCCCAGACUCCUACGGGAGGCAGCAGUGGGGAAUAUUGGACAAUGGGCGAAAGCCUGAUACAGCAAUGCCGCGUGAGUGAUGAAGGCCUUAGGGUUGUAAAGCUCUUUUACCCGGGAUGAUAAUGACAGUACCGGGAGAAUAAGCUCCGGCUAACUCCGUG